rnacentral:rRNA from 1 species
ACAGCAGUAGCCGCGGUAAUACGAAGGGUGCAAGCGUUAAUCGGAAUUACUGGGCGUAAAGCGUGCGUAGGCGGUUUGUUAAGUCUGUUGUGAAAUCCCCGGGCUCAACCUGGGAAUGGCAAUGGAUACUGGCAAGCUAGAGUGUGUCAGAGGAUGGUGGAAUUCCCGGUGUAGCGGUGAAAUGCGUAGAGAUCGGGAGGAACAUCAGUGGCGAAGGCGGCCAUCUGGGACAACACUGACGCUGAGGCACGAAAGCGUGGGGAGCAAACAGGAUUAGAUACCCGCGUAGUCCCUGUCUCUUAUAA